rnacentral:rRNA from 1 species
GCGUGCUUAACACAUGCAAGUCGAGCGAAGCACUUGAAUUUGAUUCUUCGGAUGAAGAUUUUUGUGAUUGAGCGGCGGACGGGUGAGUAACGCGUGGGCAACUUGCCUUACACAGGGGGAUAACAGUUAGAAAUGACUGCUAAUACCGCAUAAGACCACGGUACUGCAUGGUACAGUGGUAAAAACUCCGGUGGUGUAAGAUGGGCCCGCGUCUGAUUAGGUAGUUGGCGGGGUAACGGCCCACCAAGCCGACGAUCAGUAGCCGACUUGAGAGGGUGACCGGCCACAUUGGGACUGAGACACGGCCCAGACUCCUACGGGAGGCAGCAGUGGGGAAUAUUGCACAAUGGGGGAAACCUUGAUGCAGCGACGCCGCGUGAGCGAUGAAGUAUUUCGGUAUGUAAAGCUCUAUCAGCAGGGAAGAAAAUGACGGUACCUGACUAAGAAGCCCCGGCUAACUACGUGCCAGCAGCCGCGGUAAUACGUAGGGGGCAAGCGUUAUCCGGAUUUACUGGGUGUAAAGGGAGCGUAGACGGCUGUGCAAGCCAGAUGUGAAAGCCCGGGGCUCAACCCCGGGACUGCAUUUGGAACUGUGUAGCUGGAGUGUCGGAGAGGCAGGCGGAAUUCCUAGUGUAGCGGUGAAAUGCGUAGAUAUUAGGAG